CACUCAGCCAGCGCCAUCUUGUCUGCGCCAUACUGUACACGUGGCUGGCACAAAGAGACGAUGGAGCUGCCGUUUUGAACAUGCCUAGUCCCAGUGUCUGAGGCGCAUGGCCCCGGGAGAGGAGGAGAAUGGGACGGUGGUUCAGAUCUGCUGAUGUAGCUGUGGUCAGUCACUGGGGAGAAUAGGCCUGUGGAUUUCUGCUCCUCUGAGAUGGAUCCAUCACUGACUACUGAACUUGUUUUCUCAUUGGCUCAACUUAAGAAGGUUCUAGAGGAUCAAGGACGUGAAACAACCAAAACCAAAGAGCAGCUGGAGACCACUUGCCAGUGAUUAGCACGAGGGAACUGACUUCUUCCUCCUCAUGGUCCACUUGAAAUUCCAGGAAAAGGAACAGAUGUGCAAGGAAUUGCAGCCUGGAGAAACAUAGUGUAUUUGGAGACUUGCAUGUAAAUGGAUAAGUAGGUGUAGGAGGAGAAGCUGGGUCACAUUUUCCUAAAUUUUAUUCCACAAAACACUAGUUCUGUGAGACGCUCUAUGGAAAUUGGUCCCAUGAUCAGUACAUUUGGGGCAUGCUGCAUGUUGUAUUCCCUGUUGUCUUAUAUUGGAUUUCCUAAAAAUAGACUCUGAGGUGGAGACUUAUGUGCAGAAGGUCUCUUGGCGAAUGCUCCAGGGAGGCGUGCGUGUAAGGAAGUGAGACAGACCCACCUCAGGCCCCUGGGACUUCCACUGGCCAGACGCCCUGUGCCUACUUGUGUCAUGGGAUACAGGGCCCAUCUCUUCCCAUCUCCACACUCUGACCACACGCUAGUAGCUUGAAAUCAGCCAUGGUGCAACUAUUGGCAUCACAAAAAUGGACAAAUGCUUCAAACUGGGGCCUGACUUAUUGUUUUGUUGAUUGCCAGGCUUAAAAAGUGAUGGAAAGGAUGCUAAUAAUGCAUAUUAAACCAAAAAAGUGCGUCAUGUCUGUAGCUGUGACAUUGUGAAUAGCACAAGCAUUGAGGUUACAUGCUUCUGAUAUUUGAAAACCCUUAUUGGAUUCAACAAAGAAUUCACUCAUGUCAUUGUCUAUCAGGUGAAGCUCUGAUGCACAUUUUUUGCUUUCACUUUUGCCUUAUUCAUUAAUAUAAACAGAAUGUCAAUCAACCUUCAUGUUGUGUCUACGCUCAAUCAUCCCUGAUGACCCUACGCUGACUACAGAUGCAGAAUUCAGCAAAAACCAAUGAAAGCAUUCGGUGAGAAUCAAUGGCUAUAUGGAGCUUACAAUAAACCGUAUUGUGUAUUUUAUUAUUACGUA
ensembl:lncRNA novel transcript, antisense to C7orf33 and CNTNAP2